rnacentral:rRNA from 1 species
AUACGAGGGGUGCAAGCGUUAUUCGGAAUUAUUGGGCGUAAAGGGUGUGUAGGCGGUUUGUUAAGUUUGUUGUUAAAUUCUUCAGCCUAACUGAAGAUCAGCAGCGAAAACUGACAGACUAGAGGAUGGAAGAGAGAAGUGGAAUUCUCGGAGUAGCGGUAAUAUGCGUAGAUCUCGAGAGGAACACCGAUGGCGAAGGCAGCUUCUUGCGCCAUUCCUGACGCUGAGACACGAAAGCGUGGGGAGCAAACAGGAUUAGAAACCCGAGUAGUCC